rnacentral:rRNA from 2 species
GUCGAACGAACUCUGGUAUUGAUUGGUGCUUGCAUCAUGAUUUACAUUUGAGUGAGUGGCGAACUGGUGAGUAACACGUGGGAAACCUGCCCAGAAGCGGGGGAUAACACCUGGAAACAGAUGCUAAUACCGCAUAACAACUUGGACCGCAUGGUCCGAGCUUGAAAGAUGGCUUCGGCUAUCACUUUUGGAUGGUCCCGCGGCGUAUUAGCUAGAUGGUGGGGUAACGGCUCACCAUGGCAAUGAUACGUAGCCGACCUGAGAGGGUAAUCGGCCACAUUGGGACUGAGACACGGCCCAAACUCCUACGGGAGGCAGCAGUAGGGAAUCUUCCACAAUGGACGAAAGUCUGAUGGAGCAACGCCGCGUGAGUGAAGAAGGGUUUCGGCUCGUAAAACUCUGUUGUUAAAGAAGAACAUAUCUGAGAGUAACUGUUCAGGUAUUGACGGUAUUUAACCAGAAAGCCACGGCUAACUACGUGCCAGCAGCCGCGGUAAUACGUAGGUGGCAAGCGUUGUCCGGAUUUAUUGGGCGUAAAGCGAGCGCAGGCGGUUUUUUAAGUCUGAUGUGAAAGCCUUCGGCUCAACCGAAGAAGUGCAUCGGAAACUGGGAAACUUGAGUGCAGAAGAGGACAGUGGAACUCCAUGUGUAGCGGUGAAAUGCGUAGAUAUAUGGAAGAACACCAGUGGCGAAGGCGGCUGUCUGGUCUGUAACUGACGCUGAGGCUCGAAAGUAUGGGUAGCAAACAGGAUUAGAUACCCUGGUAGUCCAUACCGUAAACGAUGAAUGCUAAGUGUUGGAGGGUUUCCGCCCUUCAGUGCUGCAGCUAACGCAUUAAGCAUUCCGCCUGGGGAGUACGGCCGCAAGGCUGAAACUCAAAGGAAUUGACGGGGGCCCGCACAAGCGGUGGAGCAUGUGGUUUAAUUCGAAGCUACGCGAAGAACCUUACCAGGUCUUGACAUACUAUGCAAAUCUAAGAGAUUAGACGUUCCCUUCGGGGACAUGGAUACAGGUGGUGCAUGGUUGUCGUCAGCUCGUGUCGUGAGAUGUUGGGUUAAGUCCCGCAACGAGCGCAACCCUUAUUAUCAGUUGCCAGCAUUAAGUUGGGCACUCUGGUGAGACUGCCGGUGACAAACCGGAGGAAGGUGGGGAUGACGUCAAAUCAUCAUGCCCCUUAUGACCUGGGCUACACACGUGCUACAAUGGAUGGUACAACGAGUUGCGAACUCGCGAGAGUAAGCUAAUCUCUUAAAGCCAUUCUCAGUUCGGAUUGUAGGCUGCAACUCGCCUACAUGAAGUCGGAAUCGCUAGUAAUCGCGGAUCAGCAUGCCGCGGUGAAUACGUUCCCGGGCCUUGUACACACCGCCCGUCACACCAUGAGAGUUUGUAACACCCAAAGUCGGUGGGGUAACC